AUAUUAUAGACAAUGACGUGGAUGGAGAGACUGUUGACAUCGGAAUGACUGAGUCUAUGAUUUCAUUCCUCUUUGAGGGAUCAUUUAAAAAAACAAGCAAAAUUCCAUGGAUUUGUUCAGCAGAUGAAGGAGACAGUGACAUUAACUCUUGAACCUGUGCCUGAAAGCCAGUCAAGAGCUGGAGCAAGUAAUAUCAGCCCGUCAACAGCUUUCCCUGAAUUUUUUGAAGUUCUGAAGUUCCCAUUUGAAGUUCAGGCCAAGUUGGACCGAAAAGAAUGCAGACUAACGUCAUCAGACCGAAACAAAAUUAUUAGAACGUUGUAUGAAAGCGUGGCUCAGUACAAAAUGUAUCUAACUACAGAAGAGUAUGUUCAAGUGGCUAAGGCCCUGACUCUGAGCACACUUGGCACGUCUCUGAAACGCAAGUUUAAAUUUGAGCGGACACCUUUGGCUGAUGUUGAAGAAGUGAAAAGACUUUGGUCAUUCAAAAAAAGUCUGCAACCUGAAGAAAGCAGUUGCAAAGAAAUUACAAGGCCUUUGGAGAAUAAUGCUGUUGGAGAGGAUGCUACAUCAAUAGAGGGACAUGUGAAAGUCCUGCAGGACCAAUAUAGAAGGACACAGUCAGAGACUCACAUUGUUGAAUAUCGAAUGAGGAGGAACUUUGCCUGGAGGCGGCAGGAGAUUACUAGUGGUAUGACUGUUGAAGAUGUCAACAAAUAUCCAUCAGGGCCUUAUCAAGAAAUUGGUUUCCUGUAUAAAUGUGUUCAACUGAGCCGCCACUUUCGAGAACAUUUUGGACACAUUACAUCCAGCGUGCUACGGCUUGCUCAAGGGAAAUCCCCUUUAGCAAAGCUGCACAAAGAAGCUAGAGAAGAAUCUCUCAUUGAAGACCAUCUUGAAUUGAUUUUAAAGCAGCACUUCUCGUGUUGCCAGCCUUGUUCAGAGAAAAACUUGAACAUUUCAUUGUGCUUGGAGAGGUGCGUAUAUAGUACUCUGUUUUAAAUUUCUGUGCAAUUCUUAAACUGUUUUUUGGCCAAAUGCAAAUGGGUGAAUAUUAAUUAUCUUAGUCUUUAUGCAUGUCAAUUUUCUCUCCAUCAGUUUAGUCAACUGCUGAGAAAAUUUUACUGAUACAGAAUCUGUUUUUUGCUUUGUCAUUUAGAGUGAACCAUCUUCACCAUAUCAUACUGUUCAAGUAGAGGAGACCACUGACUGGAAAACUGUGUUUACAAGAAGAGUCACUGCAGUCAUCAGAGUUGAUGGGAUCGAGAUAGACGAACGGUGUGGAUGAAGGGGCUCUUGCAGCAUUUUGUGCUUAUUUCGUCUUCAAUUUGACAUAUCCAUCCCAUUUGAAGAACACCCUGGUGUUUCUUCAGUGGUAUGUUUUGAGAGUUACUGUGGAUGGUGACAAGCCUCUACCUACCCCAGUUACCAGAAUAAUCAACCUUCUUAACUCAACAUUCUUAACAUAGACACAGACUGGUUAUUGUGUGGCAAGCUUUUAAUUCCUGGGGUUUUUUUGUCGUCAUUUUUACUCAUACUGUGUGAAAUGAGAAUGAAUGGACUGUCCUCUUGCCAGGUGAAGAGGUUGAUUACCAGGCAUUAGAUACCUACAAUGUUGAUGACAAGUUAUUUAUUAGCACUAGAUAUUCUUGCUGAAGACAAACUGCUGCAAACUUCAAAAUGUGCAGUACUUGAUGUAGCCUGUGUAAUAAGGCUGCUUUACUUGUUUGAGUUUUUCAUUGAAGAGCUAGUUUUUUCUUGACACGCUGUUGUGAGAUGUAAUGAAAUCUUUUUAAAAGAACAUUUCUAAAUAAAAUUGUGUAUUUGUCAGCCA
ensembl:lncRNA